CUCUGAAGAGUCUCGGCGUCUGAUUGGUCCAAUUUUCAGUUAGGCGCCGCCUGAUUGGCCGCUGGACGAUGUCUGCUCCUAACAGAGGGCUAAAUCACUAGUUAACUAUUUUCAUCAUGGAAGUUAUACAGCUCAUGUAUCACACUUAAUAUUGAAUAUAUAUAUAAAAAGGGUUUUCCAAAAGGACCAUUUAUAAUCGAAAUACAAAACUUCACACACGAUUUUGAGCACAACAGAGCGCUCAGUGAACAUCACUUCCGGGACCUGCAUCACCGGAGGGGGACAUCUAUCUUGGCCACAAACCAUCUUUGACAGUCUUCGGCAGCAUGGUUGAAUCAGGCGCAUCAACACAUGAUAUAGACAUCGUGCCCAAAAGAAGAGCGAGACGUAAUCCUGAGGCUGAAGCCACCGAGUUUAUUUGAUCUGGAUGUGACAAGUCUUGUUUUAAGGCCCAGUGGAUCAAUGAUUGGAAAGACACCAACUGUUGAUGUUCUAUCUCAACAUUCUCCAGAUUCAUGUGAGCGAUAAACCGACUUCAUCCCUCCAACAGACACCAACUGUUGGGGUUCUAUCUCAACAUUCUCCAGAUUCAGAUGUGAGCGAUAAACCGACUUCAUCCCUCCAACAGAAACCAACUGUUGAGGUUCCAUCUCAACAUUCUCCAGAUUCAGAUGUGAGCCAUUAACUGACUUCAUCCCUCCAACAGACACCAACUGUUGAGGUUCUAUCUCAACAUUCUCUAGAUUCAGAUGACAGCCAUAAACCGACUUCAUCCCUCCAACAGAUUGACAGCAGGACAAAUCGCUGGAAGUGGGUAUGUCUCAAGCUUCUUCCACUUGGUCCACUCCAAAGCGGGCUGCAAAGGGGAAGAAGUGGAAGCAGUUGAAUGACACAUGUUGCAUUUUGUAACUGGCAACAAAGUACCAGGUAAAAAAGAUUGUGAAGCCUGCCUCCAUAAAGAACUAGUAGCUCUACAGGACAGAGAUUGGCUUGCCAUCAAGUACUACAUCCAUAACAGAAUUAUAUUAAAAAAAGGGAAAAAAAAUGUUUUCCCACAUCUUCUGUGGUAGUUUGAGUAUGUUACCAGCAAUUAAAAAAGCAAAAUAAACAGCAA